AGAGUUUGAUCCUGGCUCAGAUUGAACGCUGGCGGCAGGCCUAACACAUGCAAGUCGAGCGGUAACAGGGGUAGCUUGCUACCCGCUGACGAGCGGCGGACGGGUGAGUAAUGCAUAGGAAUCUGCCCGAUAGUGGGGGAUAACCUGGGGAAACCCAGGCUAAUACCGCAUACGUCCUACGGGAGAAAGGGGGCUUUGGCUCCCGCUAUUGGAUGAGCCUAUGUCGGAUUAGCUAGUUGGUAAGGUAAUGGCUUACCAAGGCAACGAUCCGUAGCUGGUCUGAGAGGAUGAUCAGCCACAUCGGGACUGAGACACGGCCCGAACUCCUACGGGAGGCAGCAGUGGGGAAUAUUGGACAAUGGGGGCAACCCUGAUCCAGCCAUGCCGCGUGUGUGAAGAAGGCCCUCGGGUUGUAAAGCACUUUCAGCGAGGAAGAACGCCUGUCGGUUAAUACCCGGUAGGAAAGACAUCACUCGCAGAAGAAGCACCGGCUAACUCCGUGCCAGCAGCCGCGGUAAUACGGAGGGUGCAAGCGUUAAUCGGAAUUACUGGGCGUAAAGCGCGCGUAGGUGGCUUGAUAAGCCGGUUGUGAAAGCCCCGGGCUCAACCUGGGAACGGCAUCCGGAACUGUCAGGCUAGAGUGCAGGAGAGGAAGGUAGAAUUCCCGGUGUAGCGGUGAAAUGCGUAGAGAUCGGGAGGAAUACCAGUGGCGAAGGCGGCCUUCUGGACUGACACUGACACUGAGGUGCGAAAGCGUGGGUAGCAAACAGGAUUAGAUACCCUGGUAGUCCACGCCGUAAACGAUGUCGACCAGCCGUUGGGUGCCUAGAGCACUUUGUGGCGAAGUUAACGCGAUAAGUCGACCGCCUGGGGAGUACGGCCGCAAGGUUAAAACUCAAAUGAAUUGACGGGGGCCCGCACAAGCGGUGGAGCAUGUGGUUUAAUUCGAUGCAACGCGAAGAACCUUACCUACCCUUGACAUCUACAGAAGCCGGGAAGAGAUUCGGGUGUGCCUUUCGGGAACUGUAAGACAGGUGCUGCAUGCUGUCGUCAGCUCGUGUUGUGAAUGUGGAUAAGUCCCGUACGAGCGCAACCCCUGUUCCUUUAUUUGCCAGCCCGUAAUGGGUGGGGAAACUC
rnacentral:rRNA from 1 species